rnacentral:rRNA from 1 species
CACGUAGGGGGCGAGCGUUGUCCGGAUUUAUUGGGCGUAAAGAGCUCGUAGGCGGUUCGCUAAGUCGGGUGUGAAACCUCCAGGCUCAACCUGGAGACGCCACCUGAUACUGGUGUGACUCGAGUCCGGUAGGGGAGCGUGGAAUUCCUGGUGUAGCGGUGAAAUGCGCAGAUAUCAGGAGGAACACCAGCGGCGAAGGCGGCGCUCUGGGCCGGAACUGACGCUGAGGAGCGAAAGCGUGGGUAGCAAACAGG